UCAAAACAUAGCAAAUGUGAAUUAAAAUUACCUUAAACGGUACCAUUUCUUAAGAGGACAUUUAACUUAAAUCUUUUAGUGUCGUCCUUUACCAAAUUGAGAAAGAAGGAAACUGAAGAGAGGUUAGCAGAGAAAUAGCGAAUCGAAAGGGAAGAAAAUUUCAAAGAAAAAUAAGAAGGAAAAAAAAGCAGAGGUUAUCUCAGCAAUCAACAGAAACGAAGCAAGGUUGGAAUCGAUCUUUGCACGAUUGUUAGGCAAAGCUGCGAGAUUUGUGUCCCAGGUAAGCCGUUUCUAUCAACGGUCGAUUAAAUUUUUAGGGUUUUGUUUUAGUCCUAGCUAUUUGGGAUUUAGGGUUCCGAUUAAACUAAUUCAACAAUGUACUGAAGCUAAUUACACUGGGAUUUAGGGUUACGAUAUGUUGGAUUUGUGGUAUCCAUGAUUUCUUAAAAGUUUCAUUACACUGGCACAUUUCUUGAGCACCAUCUUUUAAUCGUUAUAAAGCAUGACUUUAUGAGAUAAAUCCUUCAUAUUGCAUGUCUGCAAAUGCCUUGUCUUCCAAUUUGUCAUUCUGCUAUAAUUCAUGCCUUGUCUUUUAAUUGCUAUAAUUCAUGCCAUGUUUGCAAAUGCCUUGUCAUUCUGCAAAUGCAUGAAUAUCUAGCCACAUCUUAUUUGACAUUGCUAUCCUAUGCUGUGGGGGAACUCAUUAUUCUGCUACUAUUUGAUUUAACUCUUGUAAAGUAGUAUCAAACUUCACAGACUGCAAUUCAACUUAAAGACAAAAGCAACUGGGGUCAUCUUCACCUUAAUAUUAUACUUAGACGACUGCAAUUAAAUGUGGUUCUUUGCUUUUCUAUGGCUAUGAAUUCUUAUAAAAAGCUUGAUUAGGUAUUUCUUUAGUUAGCUAGAGGUCUUCUAUCUUGAAUGGAAAAAAGGUAGCAGUAGUGUUACUUGUAAAAUCGGCCUCCCCCCCCAAGGGAGCUCUUCUAGUUUGAAUAUGGUUCUUUGAGCAUAUAUGUUAUCACAACUAAUAAAAUUAUGGUUUAAAGAUAUUUUUAAGUUAAAAUUUUGAGCAAUCAUUAUUAAAAUUAUGGUUUUGGUUUAAAGAUAUUUUUAAGUUAAAAUCUCACUAUUUAUAAAUUUUUAUUUAAAAAAUAAAAGAAUUCCUUAUUUACUUGUUCCUAAAUUUUACAUUUAGGCUGUAGUUUCUGUGUUGCCUUGUUGCUUUGAGAUUCUUAGCUGAAACAGUGGCACCUUCAUGAAGGCCUUGUUGCCUUGUUGCAUUGUAGGCUCGAAUGACUAUGGCUCUAAUAUUUGUUCAUGUGAACUUGUUUGCUCAUACUACUUUCGCAUUUAGGCUGUAGUUGCUGUUCACUUUUGUCUUCUGUUUAUUAGCGAAAUUUACUUCUGUUGCCUUCUGUUUUGUUUUUCUUACUUCUUUUUUUUGGUAGUAAUGUACUUCUGUCUUUUUUUUCCAGGAUUUGCUUCGAAAUUAAGGAAAUGUAAGGUAUUUAUUCCUAUGUUUCCCUAAUUAGUUUUCUUAAAAAAAUGUCCAAUUGUUUAAUUUUUUUGUAUGGUUAUAUCUUAGCUUUGUAGUUUAAUUAUUAAUUUUGAUUUUGAUUUUUAGAAGGGAGUUUUAAUUAAAUCAGAGGCGGCAGCGAGGGAAGCAGAGGCUGCAAUGAGGGAAGUAGAGCAGAGUAGAAAGUAUGAUGAACUCCAACAGCAGCUUCAGAAUAUGAUUAAGAUGUUUCAGCAAUAGCAACAUCCGCCGUCAUGGUAUAUUGUAUAAAUAUUUUUAUCAUUUUAAAUUUUAACAAUUUUGUAAAAAUAAUAUGAUUUAUAUUUGAUUUAUUGAUAUUAAUAUUAUUUUAUUCAUUUAAUUUGAAAUAAUUAUAUAGAUUUAUUACUUUUGACUGGUUUAGAUUGGUUCGCUUUUGAUUUGUUGCUACAUGAGGGCUGAAAAUAUGAAAAAUUUUAUUUUACAAAAAUCCCAAAAUUAAUGGCGUUUUCAGAAAAAGCACCGCUAAAGGUCACCAAACAAUAGAGGCAUUUGUGGGAAAAGCGCCGCUAAAGGUCACCAAACAAUAGCGACAUUUGUGGAAAAAGCGCAGCUAAAGAACAUGACCUUUAGCGACGUUUGUGGGAAAAGCGCCGCUAAAGAACAUGACUUUUAACAGCAUUUGUAGGAAAAGCGCCGCUAAAGAACAUGACCUUUAGCGACGUUUAUAGAAAUAAACGCCGCAAAUGUUAGCGACGUUGUCAAUAGUGGCAUUUUUUGCGGCGCUUGUGGAAGUGCCGCAAAUACUUUUAGUGGCGUUAAAAAGUGCCGUUGAAGGCCAAAAAAAACGCCGCUAAAAGUCUGUUUUGGUGUAGUGAUAGAAUUAUUUUUUUUCUUAUUCACCUCCCCCUAUUGCCGUUCCCCUCUCUAGCUCCUCUCUUUCUCUACAUUUUUCUUUAUUUUGGCCUCAUUUUCCACCACAUUUACUUAAACUUUUCUCCUCUCUUUCACCACCAUUACAAACCGAACCACCAUUAGACCUCCUCCUUGCCACCGCUUACUCCAUCAAUUUUUGCUCCAACACCGCCCUUUACACCGCCAUACCGAUGGUGGCGCAAAGUGGUGGUCACGGUGGUGUCACUGUAGUGUCGCAACGCCCCUCUCUCCCUCAUUCUUCUCCUUCGUCAGGUUCUUAUAGGUCCGCCAUCGUCGUCAACGCGCCUCCACCGGCUUCGGUGACCUUUUUAUUUUUUUCACUAUUUUUCUUACCUCUUUUAUCCUCUUUACUAAUCAAAAUCCUAUAUCCCUAUUUCCUUUAGUUUUAAAUUAUUUUAUUUUAAUGCCGUAUCUUGACUCAUUCUUUCAAGUGAUUUUUCUCUAGACUCAAUCUCCUCUCCGACGCAAGACUCCAGUGAUUCAACAUCACUUCCAAUUCAAUCGAGUUAGGGUGAGUAUGGUAGUGGAAUGAAAAGUCACUUAUUCCUCUCUUAUUUUCCUUUAGGCAAAAUGUAUAUAAAGGCCAUUUUAUAUUUUCCUUCAAAUGUUAACAUAUUGUAUACUACUUUUUGUUAAAAGGGUUGAUUGGUACCAACUUGGAGAGUUACUAACGUUGGGAAUGAGAUCAUAUUACGAUUUACAUCUUCAAGGGUGAGUAUUGCUCAAAGUGUUAAUAAAUGGACUUAUGCCAUAAAACGUUUAAAACAAC
rnacentral:lncRNA from 1 species